CCUACGGGUCGCACCAGUGGGGAAUAUUGCACAAUGGGCGCAAGCCUGAUGCAGCCAUGCCGCGUGUGUGAAGAAGGCCUUCGGGUUGUAAAGCACUUUCAGCGGGGAGGAAGGCGUUAAGGUUAAUAACCUUGGCGAUUGACGUUACCUGCAGAAGAAGCACCGGCUAACUCUGUGCCAGCAGCCGCGGUAAUACGGAGGGUGCAAGCGUUAAUCGGAAUUACUGGGCGUAAAGCGCACGCAGGCGGUCUGUCAAGUCGGAUGUGAAAUCCCCGGGCUCAACCUGGGAACUGCAUCUGAUACUGGCAAGCUUGAGUCUCGUAGAGGGGGGUAGAAUUCCAGGUGUAGCGGUGAAAUGCGUAGAGAUCUGGAGGAAUACCGGUGGCGAAGGCGGCCCCCUGGACGAAGACUGACGCUCAGGUGCGAAAGCGUGGGGAGCAAACAGGAUUAGAUACCCGCGUAGUC
rnacentral:rRNA from 1 species